GAUGAACGCUGGCGGCGUGCCUAAUACAUGCAAGUCGAACGAAGAUCUAGCUUGCUAGAUCUUAGUGGCGAACGGGUGAGUAAUACAUAAAUAAUCUGCCCAUAUGACUGGGAUAACUAUUGGAAACGAUAGCUAAUACCGGAUAGGUUGAUCGGAGAGAUCUCUGAUGAAUUAAAGUAGGAUUUCUACACAAAUGGAUGAGUUUAUGGCGCAUUAGUUAGUUGGUGGGGUAACGGCCAACCAAGACGAUGAUGCGUAGCCGACCUGAGAGGGUGACCGGCCACACUGGAACUGAGACACGGCCCAGACUCCUACGGGAGGCAGCAGUAGGGAAUUUUCGGCAAUGGGCGCAAGCCUGACCGAGCAACGCCGCGUGAGUGAUUAAGGCCUUCGGGUUGUAAAGCUCUGUUGUAAGGGAAGAACAUUCAGGAUAGGAAAUGAUCUUGAACUGACGGUACCUUACCAGAAAGCCACGGCUAACUACGUGCCAGCCGCCGCGGUAA
rnacentral:rRNA from 1 species